rnacentral:rRNA from 1 species
UAAUACAGAGGGUGCGAGCGUUGUCCGGAAUCACUGGGCGUAAAGGGCGCGUAGGCGGCCUGGUAAGUAGGGGGUGAAAUCUUGCGGCUCAACUGCAAGGCUGCCUCCUAAACUGCCGGGCUGGAGCACGGUAGAGGCAGAUGGAAUUCCCGGUGUAGCGGUGGAAUGCGUAGAGAUCGGGAAGAACAUCGGUGGCGAAGGCGGUCUGCUGGGCCGUUGCUGACGCUGAGG